UUUCCACAGGCAGGUCAUUCCCCACAAGUCGAGCAGACCCCAAGUGGGUCGCUCCUUCCUGCAACCGGUAGUCCCCACAUCUGUGCAAGUCUGACUGAGUCCGGGGGUGUUUUAUGGGCUUAGAAGGGAAGAAGUGUGUGCUGAUUGGUCCAUGGACGGCCAUGAGUGGGCCUGGAAAAAGCACAAGUUCUCACUGCCAUC
rnacentral:lncRNA from 1 species